ACGCUGGCGGUCUGCUUACACAUGCAAGUCGAACGGAGUACUUCGGUACUUGGUGGCGGACGGGUGAGUAACGCGUGAGGAUCUGCCCUCAGGAGGGGGACAACGACUGGAAACGGUCGCUAAUACCCCAUAUGCCGAGAGGUGAAAUGUUUUUUCGCCUGAGGAUGAGCUCGCGUCAGAUUAGCUAGUUGGUGGGGUAACGGCCUACCAAGGCGACGAUCUGUAGCUGGUCUGAGAGGAUGAUCAGCCACACUGGGACUGAGACACGGCCCAGACUCCUACGGGAGGCAGCAGUGGGGAAUUUUCCGCAAUGGGCGAAAGCCUGACGGAGCAAGACCGCGUGAGGGAUGACGGCCUAAUGGUUGUAAACCUCUUUUCUCUGGGAAGAUAAUGACGGUACCAGAGGAAUAAGCCUCGGCUAACUCCGUGCCAGCAGCCGCGGUAAUACGGAGGAGGCAAGCGUUAUCCGGAAUUAUUGGGCGUAAAGCGUCCGUAGGUGGUUAAUCAAGUCAGCUGUUAAAGAGCGGAGCUUAACUCCGUUAGAGCGGUUGAAACUGAUUGACUAGAGUUUGGUAGGGGUCGAGGGAAUUCCCAGUGUAGCGGUGAAAUGCGU
rnacentral:rRNA from 1 species